ACCUGGGGAAGGUUUUGUCAAUUUAAAAAAAAAAAAAAUCAGUGGUUUUAAUGUUACUGCAGUGAACAAUGUGAUUUGUGUGUUGAUUUGUGUAGUAAAGAACCAGUGUUUAUAUUGACACUGAUAUAAACAAAGAAAACCACAAUGCAUUUAUUAAUCUAUAGACAUAGUAAUUACUUUUAACUUAAUUUAAAUGAAAGCAUGCUAUGCCUCUCCCAUACUGAUACUGUUACUUUUCUUUUUAUUCACCCUUCCAGGGGGAUUCCUGGUGAAAAGUGUUUUAAAAGUUUCAGACUCUCAUCAAGCAAAAAGAUACCUGGUCACAUCAGAUGAACUACAGAGGAGGUGCUCUCCUCCAGAGAGUUACUCAGCAAACACUGUUGUGGCUUAUCUACGGAAGGCCAAGGGACAAAAAAAGAAAAUCACAGAGAAGUUGGCAGAGUUGGAGGUGAACCCCUCAAAGCGCACAAAGUUAACUUCACAGUGCUCCAAACUUUGUGAAGAUGAAUGCAAGGAUCUGGCUGGGGACAUAAUGUUCCUUGCCGCACAAUUCAUCCCCCAGAAAAGGGUGGGUGAAGCCUUGCUUGAAGAAGGGAAUGUCCAUGCAGCUAUGGUCAAAACCAAAGACUGCAGGAAGACUUUGAAAGAUUUAAAGGCUGCUCUAGAGAACAAUGGGACACAUUUGACCUGGCAACACAUGGUCUUGGUCCUGCCGUAAUAAAUGGCACUUUUUCGUUGAUAGAUGCGUGUCUUAAGGAAAAGAUGAGAGCACUGAAAAAAAAAGACUCCACAGAUGAUACAAAAGUUAAGAAACUUAAAAUAUCCUUAAUGAAUAUUUGUCCUGGAUAUCAUGUUAUUUAAAGGUGCUCUAAGCGAUCUUACGUGUUUUUAGGCCAAAAACAUUUUUUGUCACAUACAGCAAACAUCUUCUCACUAUCCGCUAGCUGCCUGUCCCCUGAACACACUGUUAAAAAAACGCGGUCUCUGUAGGCGACACAAGCUCCAAAAACGGACACAAAAACAAACUGGUGCAGCCUGGACCACGAAACAAUAAACAGUGCCUCAGACAAUAACUGACA
ensembl:lncRNA